CCUACGGGCGGCUGCAGUGAGGAAUAUUGGUCAAUGGACGAGAGUCUGAACCAGCCAAGAAGCGUGAAGGAUGACUGCCCUAUGGGUUGUAAACUUCUUUUAUAUGGGAAUAAAAUGUUCCACGUGUGGGAUUUUGUAUGUACCUUAUGAAUAAGGAUCGGCUAACUCCGUGCCAGCAGCCGCGGUAAUACGGAGGAUCCGAGCGUUAUCCGGAUUUAUUGGGUUUAAAGGGAGCGUAGGUGGGUUGUUAAGUCAGUUGUGAAAGUUUGCGGCUCAACCGUAAAAUUGCAGUUGAAACUGGCAGUCUUGAGUACAGUAGAGGUGGGCGGAAUUCGUGGUGUAGCGGUGAAAUGCUUAGAUAUCACGAAGAACUCCGAUUGCGAAGGCAGUUCACUAGACUGCAACUGACACUGAGGCUCGAAAGUGUGGGUAUCAAACAGGAUUAGAUACCCGUGUAGUC
rnacentral:rRNA from 1 species